UACGUAGGGGGCAAGCGUUGUCCGGAGUUACUGGGCGUAAAGCGCACGCAGGCGGUUCUCUCAGUUCCUGGUGACAGUCGUCGGCUUCACUGACGAAGGAGUGGGAAGACGGGAGAACUUGAGGGCUUCAGAGGGACACGGAAUUCCGGGUGGAGUGGUGAAAUGCGUAGAUAUCCGGAGGAACACCAACAGCGAAGGCAGUGUCCUGGGAAGUCUCUGACGCUCAGGUGCGAAAGCCAGGGGAGCGAACAG
rnacentral:rRNA from 1 species